rnacentral:rRNA from 1 species
UGGGGAAUAUUGGGCAAUGGGCGCAAGCCUGACCCAGCAACGCCGCGUGAGGGAAGAAUGUCUUCGGAUUGUAAACCUCUGUCCUUGGGGACGAAAAAAAUGACGGUACCCGAGGAGGAAGCUCCGGCUAACUACGUGCCAGCAGCCGCGGUAAUACGUAGGGAGCGAGCGUUGUCCGGAAUUACUGGGCGUAAAGGGUGCGUAGGCGGCUUGGCAAGUCAGAUGUGAAAUCCCCGGGCUUAACUCGGGGGGUGCAUUGGAAACUGCUGAGCUUGAGUGCAGGAGAGGAAAGCGGAAUUCCUAGUGUAGCGGUGAAAUGCGUAGAUAUUAGGAGGAACACCAGUGGCGAAGGCGGCUUUCUGGACUGUAACUGACGCUGAGGCACGAAAGCGUGGGGAGCAAACA